rnacentral:miRNA from 1 species
UAAGCUAUUAUGUUGGUGCAAAAGUAAUCACGGCUUUUGCCAUUAAAAGCAGUGGGAAAAACCGUGAUUACUUUUGCGCCAACCCAGUAUGUUGUUUCACAGUGUG